rnacentral:rRNA from 1 species
AUUGAGCGCUGGCGGCAUGCCUUACACAUGCAAGUCGAACGGUAACGCGGGGCAACCUGGCGACGAGUGGCGAACGGGUGAGUAAUGCAUCGGAACGUGCCCAGUAGUGGGGGAUAGCCCGGCGAAAGCCGGAUUAAUACCGCAUACGACCUACGGGUGAAAGGGGGGGAUCGCAAGACCUCUCGCUAUUGGAGCGGCCGAUGUCAGAUUAGCUAGUUGGUGGGGUAAAGGCCUACCAAGGCGACGAUCUGUAGCUGGUCUGAGAGGACGACCAGCCACACUGGGACUGAGACACGGCCUAGCCUCCUACGGGAGGCAGCAGUGGGGAAUUUGGGACAAUGGGCGAAAGCCUGAACCAGCCAUGCCGCGUGCGGGAAGAAGGCGUUCGGGUUGUAAACCGCUUUUGUCAGGGAAGAAAUCUUCUGAGUUAAUACCUCGGGAGGAUGACGGUACCUGAAGAAUAAGCACCGGCUAACUACGUGCCAGCAGCCGCCGUAA